rnacentral:lncRNA from 1 species
UUAAGUCUUUUUUUCUAAUCGUGAGAGCGUUAUUCUUCCUUUUCAUUCGUAGCUUCAUUUUCGUUGCCCCUUUUGUUCUCGUUCCAUUUUUUCUCCAGUUUUGGGUGGAAUUUCUUUGUGAUGAUUGCCGUGAGAUAGUAUUUUUCUUAUUUCUUCAGAAUGGUUAGAUAGCUCGUUAUCCCUUUUCUACACUGUUCUGUAUAGUCUGUUCCAUUGCUGCAAAUUGCAGCGGUACAGCCCUCCUUCAUCUAAAAUGAUUUCGUGGGUUUACUGUGGUUGAAGGACCAAAAGUUUCGUGACAAAGGUGGGCUGUUAGAACUAUAGAGGUAUGACCUCAUUGGAUCUUUUGGAAAAAAUAUAAUGAUAUAGAUUUGGUCUUUGUUAAGAAGUUAUCACUUAGAGUGAGGCUCAUACAUGCACUGUGCUUUUUGUAGAUAGGCUUACAGAUUUUAAGCGCAAAAGAAGCCUUUCUUUGUGAUUUCCAGAUCCCACUUGUUAAUAUGGGCCUUCUUUUGUGUAUCCUUUCAGGGGGGUGGUUGUUUGGUACGCAUUAUCUUCUAAGUGAUGAACCACAUGUAUCUAUUCUU